rnacentral:rRNA from 1 species
ACCAGACUCCUACGGGAGGCAGCAGUGGGGGAUAUUGCACAAUGGGGGGAACCCUGAUGCAGCGACGCCGCGUGGGUGAAGAAGCGCCUCGGCGCGUAAAGCCCUGUCAGCAGGGAAGAAAAUGACGGUACCUGAAGAAGAAGCCCCGGCUAACUACGUGCCAGCAGCCGCGGUAAUACGUAGGGGGCGAGCGUUAUCCGGAUUUACUGGGUGUAAAGGGGGCGCAGACGGCGAUGCAAGCCAGGAGUGAAAGCCCGGGGCCCAACCCCAGGACUGCUCUUGGAACUGCGUGGCUGGAGUGCAGGAGGGGCAGGCGGAAUUCCUGGUGUAGCGGUGAAAUGCGUAGAUAUCAGGAGGAACACCGGUGGCGAAGGCGGCCUGCUGGACUGCAACUGACGUUGAGGCCCGAAAGCGUGGGGAGCAAACAGGAUUAGAUACCCUAGUAC